rnacentral:rRNA from 1 species
GUCCACGCCCUAAACGAUGGAUACUACGUUGAGGACCCUCCAAGGGGUUCUCUUCCGGAGUGAAAACGUUAAGUAUCCCGCCUGGGGAGUAUGGUCGCAAGGCUGAAACUCAAAAGGAAUUGACGGGGGCUCACACAAGCGGUGGAGCAUGUUGCUCAAUUCGAUGCAACGCGAAGAACCUUACCCAGGCUCGAAGCGUACGAAUUAGCCCUGUGAAAGCAGGGUGACACCUUAACCGGUGGAACGUACGGAGGUGUUGCAUGGCUGUCGU